rnacentral:rRNA from 1 species
ACUCCUACGGGAGGCAGCAGUGGGGAAUAUUGGACAAUGGGGGAAACCCUGAUCCAGCAAUGCCGCGUGUGUGAAGAAGGCCUGAGGGUUGUAAAGCACUUUCAACUGUGAGGAUUGGGAUUUUGGUUAAUACCCGAGAUCCUUGACGUUAGCAGUAGAAGAAGCACCGGCUAACUCCGUGCCAGCAGCCGCGGUAAUACGGAGGGUGCAAGCGUUAAUCGGAAUUACUGGGCGUAAAGCGUCUGUAGGCGGCUUAUUAAGUCGGAUGUGAAAUCCCAGGGCUUAACCUUGGAACUGCAUUCGAUACUGGUAAGCUAGAGUGUGUAAGAGGAUAGUGGAAUUCCAGGUGUAGCGGUGAAAUGCGUAGAUAUCUGGAGGAACAUCAGUGGCGAA